UAAAAUCCAUUUCUUCUUCUUCUUCUUCUUCUUUAUUUUUAUUUUUUUCCUUUCCUUCUCCUUAUCCCCGGCUCACUGAGCCAUUAGGGCACAGUGCGGGUAGCAUCAAUGUGUGGCCGCAGCAAAAGCUCGCUCCUCACCGAGUCCCGCGUUAUUAUUCUCAAAGCAUCCACCAUGCUCCCUGUCAGCUGACAAAGCCGCGGCACAGAGCUGCGAGCCCGUCCCCUCCUUCCCCGACCCUCGUCCCCCUCAAAUCCUCCCGUUUUCCCGGUGAGGAAUGACAUAUACAGAAAAUGCGGGGACAGCAGCGCUGGGACAGAGCAGGGGGAAUCGGAGUGCUCCCCGCUCCAGCCGGCCCUGCCCGGGGCAUGCGGUGGGCACGGGCAGCCCUCGGAGAGCGUGGCAAAGACGGGAGAAGCAGCGCUGCGGAGCUUUAAUUGGAAAAUUAUUUACUGGAGAAAGGAAAUUUCCAACAUCUGUCUCUGGGCAGUAAAACUGCACCGAAAUUAAGAAGUGUUUAUGCGUCGUCAUGAGAAGUAAUAACGUGGCACAGCGCGCUCCAUUAUAAUCGGGGAUAAAUUACGGCGGGAUUCUAAAACAAAAAAAAAUCCUCUCUAGUGCGAAGCACAUCGCGAUCCCUCUCGGCACAUGAGCCAUAACAGGGCAGUGCUCCCAGGUCGCGCGUAACUUCUGAGCACCGUUUAAUCGCUACCUUUGACUUCCCGGAAAAGCUCGGGACGCACAGUGAGGCACCCCCGGUUCUCCCACGUAAAAAAUAAAUGCAGUGAAUGCCGCCUGGAGGAUUAUUUUUAAAGCGUGUGAGAAGAUUGCAGUGACGGAAACCUCGCAAUCUCAGCUCGCUCGCUAUUUCCUCGACUGUAAUAUAUAGACAUAUAUAUACACAUUUGAAUACGUUUUGCAGGCUGCUGUGUCCGAGGUUGUUUGCAUGCGACAGAAUGAGACAUUUCGGGGCUAUUUCCGAGCAGCGCCGUGCCGGCGUUGGGCGAAUACGCGGGGGGUGGGCGCGCACAUAAGGCGGUGGGGGCCAAUUCGGAUCUGCUUCGACGAUUUGUUUGGCGGGAGGCAUUUUGACGUUGUUUUUAUUAGUAUUUGUGAGUUGGCAGAUAAAAAGCUGCUAGCAAAAUAAAAGAAAAGGCGGUGGUCACAACACACCCCCGCAAAGCUAACGGCAUCGCAGCGCAUAUUUUGCAGGCACGCGGAACCCGAAAUACACGCGCCCAACCCCGCCGUUCGCUUCGACGUUAUCAAUAUUAGAGUCUAGACAUCGGCUAUGUUUGCCAUUUCUUUCUCUUCGCGUCUUGGUAUGUUGUCACCAGAGGAGCAAUUUAUUGGUCUAAUGUCAUCUACUUCAGCUUCUUUGA